AAUAAGAAGCAUUCUACAAAUAUUUGCUUAAUAGCCUUGAUGGAAUUUAACCAGACUUUAUACCUCACCAGACAUUCUGCUCAUAGAGCACAUAUGGGGUUCCCUGUACUUGCAAUGCUUUGUUCAUUUUCCUGAAUAUACUUUACAGGCUACUUCAACAUGAAUGGGAAGAAAGCAAUGUUCAGAUUCUGAAACUUCAAGCCAAGAUGUUUACAUAUAAUAUCCCAACAUGCCUGGCCACCUGGAAAAUGUAAUGCAACAAUCAUGUACAUGUUUUUAUAGCUAUUGCUUUUAUGUAUAAGGUUUGCUCCAGACAGGUAAAUCAUUUGAAAUGACAUCUAUUUUUUUCCCUUUCUGGACAGAUCUCUAAUUUAGAUUUGUUUUUGGCACUUGCUGUGGUUUAAUGCUAAGAGUGUGAGUGCUUUUAACAACUGCUUCUAAAAGCAAAAAAAAGACAGGUUUGUUUUUGUUUUUUUUUUAAUUUUCCUUGAAGGAGAACGUUUAGAUAACAAAACUGUUAUCAAAUGAAUAAGUCUAUUUACAGACAUUAUAAGACCAUCUCCUUUCAAAUGUGGGGUUUUCCCCCUGUUAUAGUCUGAUUUCUUCUUUCUUUUAAAGGUGUUAGGGCCAGGGAUUUUUUUCACAAGUAAUUAUGAAUAUAUAUUUUUUCAUGAGCGUUAUUGAUGUUCAAAACACUUGGUCUGCUCUAUUCUUGUAAAGUUGAUAAAAAUUGUUGAAUUUUUCUUUUCACUGUAGGUUACCCUCCUUGGAAGUGUAGCCUGUUACUUUCAGGAAGUUUUGUACUCAGAUUCCCACAGUCAGUAUUCUGCCAGUGGUGUUUCAUUUUGUGCAAAGAUAUAUAAAUUUUUCUUUUCCUUUUUCUAUAUUCCUUUUUUUUCCUUAGAGCCAUUGCUGCUGAGAUUGUUCUAAAGGGGCAAAGAGAGGUAAGUUACAAUUGAAUAUCAGAUGGGUCUCUUUUUUUCCUUUUAGCUGUUCGGCCCCUUUUAUUGACUUCUCAGUUUAAAAGGAUUAAGGCAUAGACGUUAACAUUUCAAGUACUCUAAUAAAUGUUUGGAAACUACAAAAUACAACACAACCAUUAUAUCUUGAAUGUUAGUAUUUUGCUAAGUAUCACUCUUUUAAAACAGAUAGGAUUACGAAGGUAUUUUUUUUCACCAUGUCUUCUGAUGGAAUUGUGUGUGUAUCUAUCUUAUAGGUCCACCGUUUAUAUCAGAGAGCCUUACAGAAGUUACCUCUUUGUGCAUCACUAUGGAAAGAUGUAAUGCUUUUUAUCUUUUAUUUUAUCUUGAUGUUUUCCUAUAAAUUUUCUGCAUGUGCCAUAUCCAUUGAUGUGGUAAUGCUCAAACUCUAGCUAUGUCUUAUUUCUAUACUUCCCUAUCUUUUACAGCAACUCUUGUUUGAAGCAUCAGAAGGAGGUAAAACUGAUAACCUGAGAAAACUAGUUUCCAAGUGCCAAGAAAUUGGAGUCAGCCUAAAUGAGCUCUUAAAUUUAAACAGUAACAAAACAGAAAGCAAGAAUCACUGAACACUGGGUGCAGUCAGUUCUAAGUCCUUAUAAUAAUUGCCAAAAUUAUUUGAAUGAUUCUUCAAGAUUAGGCUGAUCCCUGGCUAAGGUCUGUAUAAAGCAGACAAUAAUGAUCAUUUCAAGUCCCUACAAUAUCCUGUCCUUAAAACCGGAAGCAAUGAACAUGAUCCUCUUCAGUUGGAUAAAUGAACUUCCUGUUUGGCCUGCUUCUAGGCCCUUCCAGAUUCUCAUAACAUCAUGUACGUAAGUAUAGCUCCUGAAAGUGACUGACAUUUAUUUUAAUUUUACUUUGUGUUUUUUUUGUUUUGUUUUUGUUUU
rnacentral:lncRNA from 1 species